rfam:Dipodomys ordii contig_56127, whole genome shotgun sequence.
GGUGGCUCAGUGGUAGAGUGCUUGCCUUGCAUGCAUGAGGCCCUGGGUUCGGUUCCUCAGCACCA